GCCAGCUGUAUUCUAUCCACCUACGGGAAGGACAUGCCAGAAUUCGUCUAGGGUUCGUACCCUUGAGGCAGACACUUGAGACCUCCUCACCAAGUUACCCCCUGUGAACACCUAGCCAGGAAAAAGGAUCCUGCCCCUGAACUAUGACUUCUCCCCAGAAAGGAGCCGCCAUCCCUGGCAUGGGUUUGUUGCCCUUUGUGGUCACAGAAUGGCUGCGGGAGUUCCAGCCAUCAUGUCCCUGUUCCAGGAAGAAAGAAGGGAAAGGUUAAAGGGCAGAAGAGGAUUUCCUAGAAGCUUCACCCAAGAUCUUCCAUUUAAUCUCCUUUUAAAAACUGUGUAAGAGGCCCACAUGGCAUUGCUGAGUGGCUGGGAAAUUUAGCUUUUUAGCAGGACACAUUGCUUCCUUGAAUUGAAUCUGGGUUCGGUUAUAAGGAAGAAAGGAAGAACGAUUAUUAACUUGGUCUUUCUCAAUCCCUGCCGCAAGAUACUAGCCCAGAAGAGAAGACAAAGGCCAUUAAUAGCCAGCAAGAGAAAAGGACUCAACACCCAGGACUUUGUUUACUCCCCAGCAGGUGCCAGUGUGCCCUGGUGAUGAGUUAUGGGCCAAGCAUCUGGGAGAAGCUACUGGCUCCUCAUGAACCCCUGGUUUCGGCUGGCACCCUGCCUCCUGAGUGAUUUCCACAUGGUCGCUCUGCCCCAUAUCUGAUCCAUCAAGCUUGGCACUCUGAAUAUCUCCACCUCUCCCUCUCUAGGACAACAAGGCGUUGCACAAUGGGAAACUAUGCGAAUGAAAUUGCUUUAUUUCUUGAUUUUAAAGCAUUUGACUUGUUGAUUUUAAAAGUGACCUACAAAAGAGCACAGCUUAACAAAAUGAAAUGGAUCUCUUCUCUCUGGCUUUAGAUAGAUUUAUUUCACACUGGCACCAGACAGAUCAGAAGCCGUAGGGUGGAGACUGAGGUGGAGUGGAGAACACAGCCGGCAUUCUUUCCAGGAAGCGGUUGGAGCCAAACCCCAUGGGAGAAUUGAUCUGAUCCAACUUUUAACUAAUUGAUGAAUUGCUGUCG
rnacentral:lncRNA from 1 species